ACGAACGCUGGCGGCAUGCCUAACACAUGCAAGUCGAACGAGACCUUCGGGUCUAGUGGCGCACGGGUGCGUAACGCGUGGGAACCUGCCCUUAGGUUCGGAAUAACUCCCCGAAAGGGGUGCUAAUACCGGAUAAUGUCUUCGGACCAAAGAUUUAUCGCCUUUGGUUGGGCCCGCGUUGGAUUAGCUAGUUGGUAGGGUAAAAGCCUACCAAGGCGACGAUCCAUAGCUGGUCUGAGAGGAUGAUCAGCCACACUGGGACUGAGACACGGCCCAGACUCCUACGGGAGGCAGCAGUGGGGAAUAUUGGACAAUGGGCGAAAGCCUGAUCCAGCAAUGCCGCGUGAGUGAUGAAGGCCUUAGGGUUGUAAAGCUCUUUUACCCGGGAUGAUAAUGACAGUACCGGGAGAAUAAGCUCCGGCUAACUCCGUG
rnacentral:rRNA from 1 species